GGGUUGUGAGGUUAAGCGACUAAGCGUACACGGUGGAUGCCCUGGCAGUCAGAGGCGAUGAAGGACGUGCUAAUCUGCGAUAAGCGUCGGUAAGGUGAUAUGAACCGUUAUAACCGGCGAUUUCCGAAUGGGGAAACCCAGUGUGAUUCGUCACACUAUCAUUAACUGAAUCCAUAGGUUAAUGAGGCGAACCGGGGGAACUGAAACAUCUAAGUACCCCGAGGAAAAGAAAUCAACCGAGAUUCCCCCAGUAGCGGCGAGCGAACGGGGAGCAGCCCAGAGCCUGAAUCAGUGUGUGUGUUAGUGGAAGCGUCUGGAAAGGCGCGCGAUACAGGGUGACAGCCCCGUACACAAAAAUGCACAUACUGUGAGCUCGAUGAGUAGGGCGGGACACGUGGUAUCCUGUCUGAAUAUGGGGGGACCAUCCUCCAAGGCUAAAUACUCCUGACUGACCGAUAGUGAACCAGUACCGUGAGGGAAAGGCGAAAAGAACCCCGGCGAGGGGAGUGAAAAAGAACCUGAAACCGUGUACGUACAAGCAGUGGGAGCACGCUUAGGCGUGUGACUGCGUACCUUUUGUAUAAUGGGUCAGCGACUUAUAUUCUGUAGCAAGGUUAACCGAAUAGGGGAGCCGAAGGGAAACCGAGUCUUAACUGGGCGUUAAGUUGCAGGGUAUAGACCCGAAACCCGGUGAUCUAGCCAUGGGCAGGUUGAAGGUUGGGUAACACUAACUGGAGGACCGAACCGACUAAUGUUGAAAAAUUAGCGGAUGACUUGUGGCUGGGGGUGAAAGGCCAAUCAAACCGGGAGAUAGCUGGUUCUCCCCGAAAGCUAUUUAGGUAGCG
rnacentral:rRNA from 1 species